rnacentral:rRNA from 1 species
UACGAAGGGGGCUAGCGUUGCUCGGAAUCACUGGGCGUAAAGGGUGCGUAGGCGGGUCUUUAAGUCAGGGGUGAAAUCCUGGGAGCUCAACUCCAGAACUGCCUUUGAUACUGAAGAUCUUGAGUUCGGGAGAGGUGAGUGGAACUGCGAGUGUAGAGGUGAAAUUCGUAGAUAUUCGCAAGAACACCAGUGGCGAAGGCGGCUCACUGGCCCGAUACUGACGCUGAGGCACGAAAGCGUGGGGAGCAAAC